rnacentral:lncRNA from 1 species
UCGUCGUCGCCCAUGCCGUACCAGCCGCAGCCGCAGCAGCCGGCGGGGUACUCGUCGCACCAGGCGUUCGGCCUGGUGCCGAUGGUCAUCGAGACCACCUCGCGCGGGGAGAGGGCGUACGACAUCUUCUCGCGCCUGCUCAAGGAGCGGAUCGUGCUCAUCCACGGGCCAAUCGCCGACGAGACCGCCUCGCUCGUCGUCGCGCAGCUGCUCUUCCUCGAGUCGGAGAACCCGCUCAAGCCGGUCCACCUCUACAUCAACUCCCCGGGCGGGGUCGUCACCGCGGGGCUCGCGAUCUACGACACCAUGCAGUACAUCCGCUGCCCCGUCACCACGCUCUGCAUCGGCC